rnacentral:rRNA from 1 species
UACGGGGGGGGCAAGCGUUGUUCGGAAUUACUGGGCGUAAAGGGCUCGUAGGUGGCCAACUAAGUCAGACGUGAAAUCCCUCGGCUUAACCGGGGAACUGCGUCUGAUACUGGAUGGCUUGAGUUCGGGAGAGGGAUGCGGAAUUCCAGGUGUAGCGGUGAAAUGCGUAGAUAUCUGGAGGAACACCGGUGACGCAGGACGGCGAUCCUGGACCGACACUGACACUGAGGAGCGAAAGCCAGGGGAGCAAACGGG